rnacentral:tRNA from 1 species
GCCCUGGUAGCUCAGUCGGCAGAGCGCUUCCAUGGUAAGGAAGAGGUCCGCGGUUCGAUUCCGCGCCAGGGCUC